rnacentral:misc_RNA from 1 species
AAGUAGUAACUCGGUUUCCAUAGGUGAACCUGCGGAAGGAUAAUUAAAGAGAAAAUAUAUUACACAGUGUAAGAGAAUACGAGUUAUAUUGAGUAGUCAAUUAUUGAGUGACAACUUUUAGGAACGGAUUUCUAGGCUCAC